rnacentral:rRNA from 1 species
AUUGAACGCUGGCGGCAUGCCUUACACAUGCAAGUCGAACGGCAGCAUGGACUUCGGUCUGGUGGCGAGUGGCGAACGGGUGAGUAAUGUAUCGGAACGUACCAUUGAGUGGGGGAUAACGUAGCGAAAGUUACGCUAAUACCGCAUAUACCCCGAGGGGGAAGCAGGGGAUCCUUGGACCUUGUGCUCUUUGAGCGGGCGAUAUCAGGUUAGCCAGUUUGGUAGGUAAAGGCUCACCAAGGCGACGAUCUGUAGCGGGUCUGGGAGGAUGAUCCGCCACACUGGGACUGAGACACGGCCCAGACUCCUACGGGAGGCAGCAGUGGGGAAUUUUGGACAAUGGGGGCAACCCUGAUCCAGCCAUGCCGCGUGAGUGAAGAAGGCCUUCGGGUUGUAAAGCUCUUUCAGCCGGGAAGAAAUCGUGGUGGCUAAUAUCCAUCAUGGAUGACGGUACCGGAAUAAGAAGCACCGGCUAACUACGUGCCAGCCGCCGCAGUAAUAC